UAGGGAAUCUUCGGCAAUGGACGAAAGUCUGACCGAGCAACGCCGCGUGAGUGAAGAAGGUUUUCGGAUCGUAAAACUCUGUUGUUAGAGAAGAACAAGGACGUUAGUAACUGAACGUCCCCUGACGGUAUCUAACCAGAAAGCCAUGGCUAACUACGUGCCAGCAGCCGCGGUAAUACGUAGGUGGCAAGCGUUGUCCGGAUUUAUUGGGCGUAAAGCGAGCGCAGGCGGUUUCUUAAGUCUGAUGUGAAAGCCCCCGGCUCAACCGGGGAGGGUCAUUGGAAACUGGGAGACUUGAGUGCGGAAGAGGAGAGUGGAAUUCCAUGUGUAGCGGUGAAAUGCGUAGAUAUAUGGAGGAACACCAGUGGCGAAGGCGGCUCUCUGGUCUGUAACUGACGCUGAGGCUCGAAAGCGUGGGGAGCAAACAGG
rnacentral:rRNA from 1 species